rfam:Equus caballus chromosome 14, whole genome shotgun sequence.
UGCUUGUGCGUUUAAAUGGGUGUGGUGCUAAGUAUAUCUUGUUUACCUUAUCUUUCUGUGGAAAAAGUUUUGAAGUCUGGUUGGGUUUGUCACAUCAUGCCUGUUGCCUAGCACUACCGAAAGUGUGCGUAUCUUGCGAGGAAGACUGGAUCAGUGGAGGUUGUGGCUUGGC